rnacentral:lncRNA from 1 species
UAUUGGCAAAGCUGUCACCAUUUAAUUGGUAUCAGAUUCUGACUUGCACAAGUGACAUUCUUCACUAAAACCGGGAGGAUGACGGGUUGUUAGGCAGGCUUCCCUGAACCGUUGUUCAAAUCCUACAGGAAACAGCGCCCCGCUGAUGAGCGGCAGAAACCGUGACCCGACGUCAAGAAAUCCAGAGUGACGAUGCAUCCUUGGUAUGAUUGAAUAAAAUGGCUCRCAUGACUACUCGCUGUUACUUG